GGCGGCCCGGGCUGCCGAGUGCGGGGAGCUCCGGGAUGCGGAGGUCCCCCCGGGCCCCGAGGGAGGAGGGGCUGUCAUGGCCCAGGUGGCCAAGAGGGCCGACGGGGUCCCGGGCUGCGGUAACGGCGGCGCGGCCAGCAGGGCACGGAGGUGAUCCUCCCUUCUGCUCUGCCCUGCUCGGGCCUUGCCUGCAGCACUGCGUCCAGUUCUGGGCUCCCAGUACCAAACAGACAGGCAUCUCCUGGAGAGAGCCCAGCGGAGGGCACAGGGAUGCCCAUGGCCGGGAGCAGCUCCCUAUGGGGAACGGUGCAGGGGGGACACACGGGGCUGUUCAGCCUGGGGAAAGGAAGGCUCAUUAAUGUCUAUAAAUACCUAACGUGCAGGAGGCAACGGGACAUGGCAACCUCUUUUCAGCAGUGCCUAGCAACAGGACAAGAGGAAACGGCCACAAACAGGAGCACAGAAAGUUUCGCACAAAUAUGCACAGGAACGUCUUCACAGUGAGGAUGACGAAGCACUGCGACGAGCUGCUUCCGCCGAUGGGGAGAAGGGGGGAAAGGGCUCCCGGCGCCGGGCACAGCGGGGACAGAGGCGGGGGGGCAGCGCACCGCGCGGUACCGCUAUGCAGCGCCGGGACGUCCGCACAGCGUCCCCUACGGGCGGAGCACCGACGUGCAGCACUGCGCCGCCUGUGGGAGUACCGCCAACGCCGCACAGCAGCUCCGCUGACGGACGAACCUUAACCUGGUUCAUUAACCUGGGCGGCUGCGGCCCUGCAGAGCAGCGCUGUGUCCCGGACCGCGCACGGCAGCAGCUCCCAGAACAGGACGGGCAGAUCUCAGCUCCACCAUCCAACACUUCCACACGAUGGCAACAGGAGAACAGGAACCACAGGACAAAGCAGAGCAGUUCAGCCCAAGAGGUGAAAACCAACACCCAAACGGGGUGAUUCUCUGCUGGUACGCAUCGGGAAAGGGCUGAAUGGGGGAACAGAGCCCGAUCCCAUCUGCUCUCUGCACCGCCAGGCUGCAAAUGGAAGCUGGGCAGAAGGAAAACAGAGCUUUUGCCCUUUGAGUGGAGUGCUGGUGGGCGUCAUCGUCACACUGGUGUUUGGGAUUGGUGAGUGCCACCCAG
rnacentral:lncRNA from 1 species